rnacentral:rRNA from 1 species
UACGUAGGGCGCAAGCGUUAUCCGGAAUUAUUGGGCGUAAAGAGCUCGUAGGCGGUCUGUCACGUCGGCUGUGAAAUCCCGAGGCUCAACCUCGGGUCUGCAGUCGAUACGGGCAAACUAGAGUAUUGCAGGGGAGACUGGAAUUCCUGGUGUAGCGGUGAAAUGCGCAGAUAUCAGGAGGAACACCGGUGGCGAAGGCGGGUCACUGGCCCGAUACUGACGCUGAGGCGCGAAAGCGUGGGGAGCAAACAGG